GACGAACGCUGGCGGCGUGCUUAACACAUGCAAGUCGAACGGAAAGGCCCUGCUUUUGUGGGGUGCUCGAGUGGCGAAAGGGUGAGUAAAAAGUGAGUAACCUGCCAUUGAUUUUGGGAUAAAUUCAGGAAAAUGGGGCUAAUAAUGGAUAGGAGAUUAUGGUGCAUGGUGGGGGUUGGAAAGGUUCGGGGGUUGGUAAGGGACGCGAGGAGGAUCAGCUUGUUGGUGGGGUAGGGGCUUACCAAGGCUUUGACGGGUAGCCGGCCUGAGAGGGUGACUGGCCACAGUACAACUGAGAUACUGACCAGACUCCUCCAAUAGACAUCAAUACAUAAUAUUGCACCCUGGUCUGCAGCCUGCUGCCGCACCUCCUCAUACGUUAUGACGGCCUUCGGGUUCUACACCCCUUUCGCCUCUGACGAAGCGUCAAUGACAAUAAUUAGUAAAGAAGCACCGGCUAACUACCUG
rnacentral:rRNA from 1 species